GUAUUAGAGACAGUAAUUCACUGGGUUUUAUAGCGGCUUUCUGAUUUUGGUAGUCCAUUGAAGAAGGGAGUUUGAAAGUUGUUGUAUACUGAUAACGAUUGUCUGCCCAUGUCCUGCCUGAAAUA